UCCUCUAAACUAAGACCGAGGCGAGGAAAGAUUAGAGGAAGCUGCCGGGGCAACCCCCCAGACAGACAGACAGGCAGCCAGAGGAGGGAGAGACUGGCAUCGAACACGAAACACGAGCAUCUGCUACCUUCAUCAGCUCCGUCUACAUCUGAUCAGAAACACAACAGAUGGAACUGAAGGACAUCAGAGUGAUGACGUGAUGCAGAGGAGACAAAAACAUGGUGAUUAUUAUCGCCGAGGCCAUGAGGAAGAAGAAGAGGAAGAGGAAGAAGAAGAAGAGCCACGCUGUCACCAGAGCCUUUCUGAGGAGUCGAGAGAUUUUUAACUUGAAGCGCCCGGAGCGGGCACACAAAGAUCUGUCUGUUUUGUCCAAAAUAUCUGUACAUGACAGCACAUUAACACUGUUAAUUAUACACAAAACAUGUAUUGAG